ACCCAGGCAGCCCACCCUGCCCAGGACUUGGGGAUGCGGAGCGGGAGAGCGCGGCCGGCGUGGGAAAGCUUUAUGGGGCUGCCCCCUCGGCCGUCUGCGAACUGGGGCGCGGGGCCGUCACUGGACCGGCUCCGCUGUGCCCCGGGCGGUCGGGGGCGUACGGGCGCUCCGGGGAGGAUGCGGGCGCCACCGGCUGGACGGCUGCAGCCUGCAGGGGGCCCUGGGGACAGCCUGCCCCAUCCCCCCGGCGGGCUCGGGCCAGGUGGCAGCGCCUGGGCUCGCCGCGCGGAGGCGGCGGCUUCCCGGGCCAGGGGCGGCGGCAGGGGCGGCCCCGGGAUCACAUGGGCGGAGGCAGGUCCCGGAGCCCCGGGCGGGCUCUCCCCAGAGUCGGGCAGACGGCAGCGGGAGCUGCGGCGUCUCCUCGCCCUCUCUCCCUCCCGGGCCUGGGCGCCCAGCCCGACAGGUGAGCGGCAGCCAGGUGAGCGUGCCCACCUGCGCCCCUCCGCGCGGCCCGCCAUCCCCGGCGCCCGGUUCCUCUCCGCGCCCCUCUCGGCGCGGGACCCUGGCCUCGUCCCCGGCCCGGCUCCUUGCAGCCUCGCAUCGGCGGGGGCGCCCCAGCGGGUUGCACUCUCCCCGGCCGGCGCGCUCCUCCUCCAGCCCCCGGCCCGCAGGGUACUUUGCCCUCAGAGCGAAAGAGGCACCAGAACUGGGAGAGCCGGGCCAUCCAGCUGGGCACCUCCCCGCGGCGCCCGCAGCGCGGAGUCCACUGACCGGCUCAAAGGUAUGGUGCUCACAGUGGAUGUGGCCGGGCCGGCGCCCUGGGGCUUCCGUAUCACAGGGGGCAGGGAUUUCCACACGCCCAUCAUGGUGACCAAGGUGGCUGAGCGGGGCAAAGCCAAGGACGCUGACCUCCGGCCUGGAGACAUAAUUGUAGCCAUCAACGGGGAAAGCGCGGAGGGCAUGCUGCAUGUGGAGGCCCAGAGCAAGAUCCGCCAGAGCCCCUCGCCUCUGCGGCUGCAGCUGGACCGGUCUCAGGCUGCGUCUCCAGGACAGACCAAUGGGGACAGCUCCUUGGAAGUGCUGGCGACUCGCUUUCAGGGCUCCGUGAGGACACACACUGAGAGUCAUUCCUCCCUAAGGUCCUCCUACUCUAGCCCAACCUCCCUCAGCCCGAGGGCUGGCAGCCCCUUCUCACCACCACCCUUCAGUAGCCCCCUCGCUGGAGAGGCGGCCAUCAGCCGCAGUUUCCAGAGUCUGGCGUGUUCCCCGGGCCUCCCUGCUGCUGAUCGCCUGUCCUACUCAGGCCGCCCCGGAAGCCGACAGGCUGGCCUCGGCCGAGCUGGCGACUCGGCGGUGCUGGUGCUGCCGCCUUCCCCAGGCCCUCGUUCCUCUAGGCCCAGCCCCGACAAAGGACCCUCAUUCCUGGCUGCCACCCACCCAACAGCGUGGACUUGGAAGGGGGAAGCCUCCUCCUGGACGAGGACUCGGAAGUCUUCAAGAUGCUCCAGGAAAAUCGCGACGGACGGGCGGCCCCCCGACAGUCCAGCUCCUUUCGGCUCUUGCAGGAAGCCCUGGAGGCUGAGGAGAGAGGUGGCACGCCAGCCUUCCUGCCCAGCUCACUGAGCCCCCAGUCCUCCCUGCCCGCCUCCAGGGCCCUGGCCACCCCUCCCAAGCUCCACACUUGUGAGAAGUGCAGUACCAGCAUCGUGAACCAGGCUGUGCGCAUCCAGGAGGGCCGGUAUCGCCACCCAGGCUGCUACACCUGCGCCGACUGUGGGCUGAACCUGAAGAUGCGUGGGCACUUCUGGGUGGGUGACGAGCUGUACUGUGAGAAGCAUGCCCGCCAGCGCUACUCCGCCCCUGCCGCCCCCAGCUCUCGGGCUUGAGCCCGCCAUGCCCUCAGCCUGCCUCCCUGCUGGGCCAGGGUCAUGCCUGUAUAAGUUGGCAUGGCAGGGACAAUGGUGGGCAGUUGCUCUUACAUGAGCUAAGUUUGGAGACCUGAGGCCCCUUUGUCCUCACUGGAUGGGCCAAGGUCUGGGACCUGUGUUGGACUGUGGGAGUCUUACCCUCACCUUGCCAGGCCUCUCCCCUGCAGGACUGGUAUUGCACUAGUCUGAGGUGGCCACUGCCUUUGAUCAACCUUUGUGUACCAUGGUCUAAGCAGGGUCGAACACAGAAGUGGAAAGGAGAGAGGUGGGCCAGGGGCUAAUGGUGUCACUGUAUAAAGUUUUUGACUUAUGAGCUGUAUAAAUGUAUGAAUAUGGACAAAAUAAAGUGGACGUCCCUUC